rnacentral:rRNA from 1 species
CACGUAGGGGGCAAGCGUUGUCCGGAUUUAUUGGGCGUAAAGAGCUCGUAGGCGGUUGCGUAAGUCGGAUGUGAAAACUCAGGGCUCAACCCUGAGAUGCCAUCCGAUACUGCGCUGACUAGAGUCCGGUAGAGGAGCAUGGAAUUCCUGGUGUAGCGGUGAAAUGCGCAGAUAUCAGGAGGAACACCAGUAGCGAAGGCGGUGCUCUGGGCCGGUACUGACGCUGAGGAGCGAAAGCAUGGGUAGCAAACAGG